ACGGAAGUAGCACAGUCCGGUUAGUGUACUUGCUUUGGGAGCAAGGGGUCGCAGGUUCGAAUCCUGUCUUCCGUA
rnacentral:tRNA from 2 species